AUUGAACGCUGGCGGCAUGCUUUACACAUGCAAGUCGAACGGUAACAGGCCUUCGGGUGCUGACGAGUGGCGAACGGGUGAGUAAUGCAUCGGAACGUACCCAGAGGUGGGGGAUAACGCAGCGAAAGCUGUGCUAAUACCGCAUGUGAUCUGAGGAUGAAAGCGGGGGACCGAGCAGCAAUGUUUGGCCUCGCGCCUUUGGAGCGGCCGAUGUCGGAUUAGCUAGUUGGUGGGGUAAAGGCCUACCAAGGCGACGAUCCGUAGCUGGUCUGAGAGGACGACCAGCCACACUGGGACUGAGACACGGCCCAGACUCCUACGGGAGGCAGCAGUGGGGAAUUUUGGACAAUGGGCGCAAGCCUGAUCCAGCAAUGCCGCGUGCGGGAAGAAGGCCUUCGGGUUGUAAACCGCUUUUGGCAGGAACGAAACGGUGACCGCUAAUACCGGGCGCUAAUGACGGUACCUGCAGAAUAAGCACCGGCUAACUACGUG
rnacentral:rRNA from 1 species